GGAUACCCGCUGAACUUAAGCA
rnacentral:rRNA from 3 species